UACGUAGGGUGCGAGCGUUGUCCGGAAUUAUUGGGCGUAAAGGGCUCGUAGGCGGUCUGUCACGUCGGGAGUGAAAACUCAGGGCUUAACCCUGAGCCUGCUUCCGAUACGGGCAGACUAGAGGUAUGCAGGGGAGAACGGAAUUCCUGGUGUAGCGGUGAAAUGCGCAGAUAUCAGGAGGAACACCGAUGGCGAAGGCAGUUCUCUGGGCCGUAACUGACGCUGAGGAGCGAAAGCGUGGGGAGCGAACAGG
rnacentral:rRNA from 1 species